rnacentral:lncRNA from 1 species
CAGCUGGGCGCGCUGCAGGCGGGGCGCACCUGCCAGGGUCGGAAGGGCCCGGCCUAGCGCCCCCUACCCCGGAGUGAGGUGGCGUCCACAGGGAUCGCCCGAGGAUUCCAUGGCCACAUAGUGAUCUCUAGCUGUAGAACGGACUUGGGAUCCCCAGCUUUAGGUCUCGAGGUCCGGGCCUGCUCGUGGUAGAAGGGGGCACGAGAAGCCCGCGGGACGCGCCCCCGCCCCUCGCGCCUCCCGGCGCCGCCUCCCUUUGUUGCCUCGUUUCUAUAGCAACGGUCUCGCAGCACAGAAGCACGAAGCAUCGGAUUCCGGGCGGGGCGCCGCGGUCCUGUCUGUGGUGCUGAAGGAGGGGCGGGCGAGGCUCACUGCUCCAUGUGGUGGCCUUCCUUUGUACACAUAUCCUGCAGUAACUGCCAUUUCCAUGGUGACAACAGCCCAGAAACGUGCCACCCCCUCCAAGCCUGACUGACCAGCCAGACCAGCUCCCCCUGGCACCUGUGGACACAUGCCAGCCAAGGAGGGCUAUGGGGCUGUUGUGAGCCUGGCAGGAAGGCACACGGGCCAAUGACAAACAGUAACCUUGACCUCCACACCUGAGGCUGUAACAGGAUCGCAUGGGCAGGCACAGAAAGGCACCUCUGGACACACACCAGCCAAGGGAAGAGAUGGUGUGGUGUGGAGCAGGUCAGCAGCUCUCUUCUCUAGGGCCCCAACAAGAUAAGAAAUACAGUGGAAUUCUAUCUUCACGUGUCCUGUCAUCCAGGGCAGGGUCACAGAUCUACCGUGGGAACCUAUGGCCAGGAAUGGUAAGGCCUGGAAUGGAGGCUCUGAGCUACGUCCAGGUCGUCAAGUCAGCACCAGUCUCUCGGGUCACUGCCUGACCAUUGUAGAAUGGGUCCUACCUGUUUUUCUCAUUAAAAGGCUUCAGGAUAGUGUAGAUUACUUUCCUGGGCCCAUGAACCACCAGCCUAUGUCUAAUUCCCGUUCUUCACCUUGGCUUUCAUGUCCAAUAGUCUUGGCCCUGUUUCUAUAGUGGGCACUGGAGCCCACUUAGGAAUGUCAGUAAAAAAGAGACCUGUGUCUGUGGAAAGCUGAGGGAACUAGGCCAGAAGGGGCUUCGUCUGGACCUCGAUGGAGCCAUGCUCCCCAGACUCCCGAUGGGAAAAGGACUCACAGGAGGCCCUUGAAGAGAGUAGUGGAGGACAAGGUAGAGGCCAGAGCAACCGGGAGAAGCCCAAUGACCCUGGGGACGUGAGUAGGGUAUAUGUCACAGCACUGUCCCGGACACCUGGCCUGUCACCCCGAUAAGCCGAAAAGGCUCCAACCUGGUCUCUUCGGUGGCCAUGUAAAAUACAUCAUCUGGGGCGUCGAUCCAGUUCAUUCGCCGCCGCUUGACUGGAGGCAGGGAGCCACCACGGAUUAGGCGCACUUUGGUGGGGUAGGACUUCCCAUUGAGCAGGAGAUUCCGACUUGGUCCCUGUGGUGAACAAGAGAAUCCUGGAUCCAGCCUUUCUCUAGCAGCUCAUUUGGCUCUCGGGGACAGCCUGCUCACAGUACCUACUGGGACCCCAACCUUGUGCCCACACAAAGCCCUAUCACAAGAGCUACUUACCCAGAUGCGCAGAGGCGACACUGCAUGUUAGGGGGACCCCAAGAAUACCACUGGUAAGACUGUGUGGCUACGGACAACAAAGUUGGAAAUAGACGGAUUCUUAAGCAGGACCAACGGUGCAGAGAGCAUCCCACAGUGUCCCCACCGCCACCACAGCCACCCCAACUCCUGGCUCAGGACCAAAGGAGGCCAACCUCAUACUCCUGAGGAACUCUUCCAAACUACCCCAUCCCACCCCCCGCCGCCACCACCACCACCACUGCAGCCCCACUAUGUGGAGCAAGCUCAUGAGAAGGGUGGCAGAGGUUCUUCAGCUCAACUCUGGAGGCUGCCAAACCUGGAGUCCUACACCCACCGCCCACCCUGACCCGCCCCAGGAACAUGAAAUAGGACUUACUAGUUGGGAAUAUAAACCUGCUUUAACUUGCUCUCAGCUUCAGCUGCUUUCAAGCGUUUCUUUAAACAAAACAGAGGGGCUUAAGGGGAGGCCGCUGGGAAAGUAUGAACAAAUGUAAUGUGGCUAUGUGGGGAUUGGAGAGGACGGAUAGCGUGGUGCGAGAGUGGAUGGUCUACCUGCUGGACGUAUCUGUCGGUGGUCUUCCACAUGUAGUAAUACUCAAUGAUGCUGGUGAGCGACUUCCAUGGGAGCUGCGGGGACAAGGCAACACGAUGGGUGGCAGAACAGGGCUGCUGCCCACACAGGCGAAGGAGAAGAGUGGCAGAGGCAGUGCUGGGUAUCACAUCAGGUCUCCCACUAACGGCACCCCGCCCCCAGUGUUCAUUAAACACAGCAAGACCAUAGCAGGUAUCUGGUUGACCUUGCUCUUCCCUGAAAAUCCAAGCUAAAACAAUUACCAUUAUGCCUGGAAGGAGAUGACCAUAACUUGGUUCUGUUCUUACCAAGAAUCAGAGAUGUAUGGACAAGAUCGGCUCAAGUCCCUCAACCAGGACUUCUCAGCUUCCAGAACCAGAGAGGGGUGAAUUUGUUGGAAUCACCCAUUCUCAGGGGCUUGAAUGAGAGGCCUCCCCACGGCCCACAUUCUUAACUCCUUGGCUGGAACGCCAAACCUCCCGCUUCUCUGGGUUACUGAGCUCCAGGGCGACUUUUCCAUGUUCUUUGUCCUUCCCGUUAUGUGUUUCUUUCCAGUGUCAAGCACCUAAGGUUUCUCUCUUUCAGCACACAGCUACAAGCCCCUAACCCUGUGCCUCCUUCCAGUGCUCCCUGGGCCACCAGCUACAUCACUCAAGUUUCGUCUUCUCCCCUGAGUUACUGUUUGGUCGGUCUGUUGGCAGUGGCAGGGAUCAGAACCAGGGUGUCCUACAUACAAGGGAUGCGUUCUCCCACUGAGCUACACACCAAGGCUGGCAACUUCAGUCUUUAAAGGCUGUGUGCUGGUUAAAUGUCACCUGCAAACAUUGUCUCUUUAGAUCUUUGAGCUUUAUCUACGAACAAUUUCCUGUGAGCAGACUCAUGAAGUGUUGAGUGGCAUGAGCUAUGCAAAGAGCUUCCUCAAAAAGGUUGGCUUCUGAUGCGGACCACUCCUCCAUCUCAUCGCGGCAGAGCACUGGCCCACCCUGGGGCACGAGGGCCGAGAUGGCCUUGGAGAUGUCGUAGAUGUUCUUGUGCAGCGUGUCCAUAGCAUGGAACUGCAAGACAGCAGGGUUCCCCUGGGACCAGGCUGUCCCCAGGCUCUAAGGAGUGUCUUCCUGCAUCCAAGAUGUGACCCCCCACCCCCACCCCUUCAGGUCUCAAGGUGACAAUCUAGU